UACGUAGGGAGCAAGGCGUUGUCCGGAAUCAUUGGGCGUAAAGCGCGCGUAGGUGGCCAUGUAAGUCCGUUGUGAAAGUCAAAGGCUCAACCUUUGAAAGCCGAUGGAUACUGCAUGGCUAGAGUACGGAAGAGGAGAGUGGAAUUCCCGGUGUAGCGGUGAAAUGCGCAGAUAUCGGGAAGAACACCCGUGGCGAAGGCGGCUCUCUGGGGACGGUACUGACGCUGAGACGCGGAAAGCGUGGGGAGCGAACAGG
rnacentral:rRNA from 1 species